UUUUUAUCUAGACAUAGGAUAGGUUGUGUGAAAAUAUUACUGAUGUUUAACGUUAAAAAUGGACCAAAAGAUUAAUGCUAAACAACAUUUGACAUGUUUGAACGAACAUAAAUAGAUUAUUUACUAGGUUUUUUUAGCUUUUCGGCGUGAUUUUACCAGCCCCACACCACGUUUUGUGGGAGCAUAAUGAACGCUAAGUACUUGGUGUUAUUUGGACAUAAAUUAUGAACUUUGUCAAAAGAAACCACAUUUGUUCCGGACCUGGAAUGCCUUCCGGACCUGGGAUCCUGCCUUCUGAUGGAGAUAAUCAAAGACAGAGCAGGCAACAGAUGGCACACAGACAGCAGAGUUGGGGACAGAUAUGCAGGGACAGACUGGCAGAGACAGGGAGUCUCAGAUUAAAUCAGUCAUCGGCACGCCCACAGGGACACGGACAGGACCAGGCGUCAUGUGAAAAGCCUGUUCUAGGUUCACCUAUAAAACCCCUACCCUGAUUUACAUUGAGCAGACCAGGCCUCCACUCCAUUGCGAGUUGGCCAAUAGAUGCUCAAUCGAGAGCAUCCUGUCGGGCUGUAUCACCGUCUGGUACAGCAACUGCACCGCCCUCAACCGCAAGGCUCUCCAGUGGGUAGUGCGGUCUGCACAACGCAUCACCGAGGGCAAACUACCUGCCCUCCAGGACACCUACAGCACCCGAUGUCACAGGAAGACCAAAAAGAUCAUCAAGGACAACAACCACCCGAGCCACUGCCUGUUCACCCCGCUAUCAUCCAGAAGGCGAGGUCAGUAUAGGUGCAUCAAAGCUGGGACCGAGAGACUGAAAACAGCUUCUAUCUCAAGGCCAUCAGA
rnacentral:lncRNA from 1 species